rnacentral:rRNA from 1 species
AGUGAACGCUGGCGGUAGGCCUAACACAUGCAAGUCGAACGGCAGCACAGUAAGAGCUUGCUCUUACGGGUGGCGAGUGGCGGACGGGUAGGAAUACAUCGGAAUCUACUUUUUCGUGGGGGAUAACGUAGGGAAACUUACGCUAAUACCGCAUACGACCUACGGGUGAAAGCAGGGGAUCUUCGGACCUUGCGCGAUUGAAUGAGCCGAUGUCGGAUUAGCUAGUUGGCGGGGUAAAGGCCCACCAAGGCGACGAUCCGUAGCUGGUCUGAGAGGAUGAUCAGCCACACUGGAACUGAGACACGGUCCAGACUCCUACGGGAGGCAGCAGUGGGGAAUAUUGGACAAUGGGCGCAAGCCUGAUCCAGCCAUACCGCGUGGGUGAAGAAGGCCUUCGGGUUGUAAAGCCCUUUUGUUGGGAAAGAAAAGCAGCAGGUUAAUACCCCGCUGUUCUGACGGUACCCAAAGAAUAAGCACCGGCUAACUUCGU